UACGGAGGGUGCAAGCGUUAAUCGGAAUUACUGGGCGUAAAGAGUGCGUAGGUGGUUUUGUGUGUUAGAUGUGAAAUCCAUGGGCUUAACCUGUGAAUUGCAUUUAAAACUGCAAGGCUAGAGUGUUGUAGAGGGUGGCGGAAUUUCCAGUGUAGCGGUGAAAUGCGUAGAUAUUGGAAGGAACACCAGUGGCGAAGGCGGCCACCUGGACAAACACUGACACUGAGGUACGAAAGCGUGGGUAGCGAACAGG
rnacentral:rRNA from 1 species